rnacentral:rRNA from 1 species
UACGUAGGUGGCGAGCGUUAUCCGGAAUUAUUGGGCGUAAAGCGCGCGCAGGCGGUUUCUUAAGUCUGAUGUGAAAGCCCACGGCUCAACCGUGGAGGGUCAUUGGAAACUGGGGAACUUGAGUGCAGAAGAGAAAAGCGGAAUUCCACGUGUAGCGGUGAAAUGCGUAGAGAUGUGGAGGAACACCAGUGGCGAAGGCGGCUUCCUGGCCUGUAACUGACGCUGAGACGCGAAAGCGUGGGGAGCAAACAGG